UAUGAUUUGGUGCAAAAGUAAUUGCGGUAUUUGCCAUUUCAAAGUAACGGUCAAAACUGCAAUUAUUUUUGCACCAACCUAAUAACUUUUUUUACUU
rnacentral:miRNA from 1 species